UGUAUCUUUGGAGUUCUUGAAUUAUACUUGUGUCUUCGUUACUGGAUAGCCUUAGCGUUGGCCUUGGUAUAUAUUCUUGAAGGAUUAUUUUGACCCCUGUUUAGGGGUUUUGUAUCAGGACUAAAGUUCUCAGUCUCAGGUUUUUCUGUCUGAGAUUGUCGUCUCAGGUUUCGGGACUGAAGAUUCAGGUUCCAGAUUGUAUCUGGACUUGGUGGACGUCGGGAGUGGUGUUGCUACUCUGAACUUUGAGUCUACAUUGUUGUUGAACAUUUAUCUUGGUUGAAGAUAGAUCUACUUGUGUUGCCAUUGGUAUAAGAAGUACACGCACCUGAUUACAGAGUCUUUGUCUUGGAAUGAACUAUUGGGAGAACAAUGAUGAUGGAGAAUAUUAAAAAGUCUUGCUGGUAAAACGGAGGAACUCUUCAAUAUUGUGAGAGACGAUAGCUGAGCCAAUUUACUUCAUCCGCUGG
rnacentral:sRNA from 1 species